GAUCAGUAUCCCGAUCGUUACUAUAAGAUUCAUUUCUGUAACUAUUAAGUAUGCAACCCGGUAUACGUUCACUCGCAUAGAGUGUAAUCUAAACUUGAGCCCAUUAUAAUUAUUUUGGUUGGUAGUAUGGUUAGUGAAUUUUACAUUUAUUCGUUGGCUCAUGGGUAAAUGACAAUUUCCGCCUGUUGACAGGACGGAAAGAAAGUGAAAGUUGAUGGUUACUUGAUCUUCGGUAGCCGUCUGCAAAUGAUGUGAUUUUCCAGCGACCGGUGUCUAGCCAUUUUAUUUUAUUUAGAAAAUAAUUAUUUAGUUGAAAAGGAAUGCAUUUAAGUUGGAAAGAAGUUUAUUUUAUGGUAUAAAUUAUGGUGAGAGUGCUGUUUUAGUUCCAAUAUCGGAGGAUUCUGGACAUUGGUCGCUGGAGAAUAGAAGAUUUAGUCAACAGAAAUAAGAAUAAUUUUUGGGAAAGAGUGGGAAAUUUUGGGACAUAUUUGGAAGUUUUGAUUUUAUUGGAAUCUUGGUUUUUAUGGAAUUUAUUUUUUGGAAUUCGCCGGUACUGAGAGGUAUCUCCAGUUGGUAACAAGGAUACACCUCCCUCCUAGGUUGAGGAACACCGCAAGCUACCUUCCUUGGGCCUCUGAUCAUUCCCUGGAAAGAGUUGGAGAACCCAUGGUCACUUGGUAGACCGGACAGGUUUUUAUAAGUCAAUUUGAUUGUAAUUUGUUUUAAUAAUAUUUGCACUUUUACCUAUUUUUUUUUUGUAUCAAUAACUUAAUAAUCCUAAUAAUAGUAUACCUUCAUUUUCUUAAACAUAAUUAAACUAAACAAUAAUUUUUCAAAAAUUUUAUAUUUCAAGGUUAGCUCAUUUAUUUUAAAAUAGUGGGGGGGAUUAUAAACUAUCUGUAAAGAUAGUGUGCACAUUAUCUCAGUUUGAAUCCUUAUCGAAACUUUGAUUUCAUUGUCAGGUAUUAUACUUACGUUUAUCACCUCCGAACAGAUACGAUAUUGUCAGCCAAUAUUGGCUUCUUCAUUAACAACAAAUUUGUACAUACAUUUUUACAUUAAUUAACUUUCAUAUAUAAACCAUUCUUUUCAUAUUUUUCACAUAUUGUAAAAACCUGUGUUAUCAACAGGAGUGUCAUAGCUUAGUACGUCCGGUUUAGCUAGUGUAUAAAAAUUGUAUAUAGGGGUUAUAGGUUUGUUUCAUUAAAUUUGUUAGUUGUACCUAAA
rnacentral:lncRNA from 1 species